rnacentral:piRNA from 1 species
UCAGAACUAGAGGACAAUGCCUUUGAAGA